CUCAGGUGGGUCUGGCUCCAAUUUGCAGAUUCCAAACCUGCCUCACAUUUCUCUUAUUUGAUGCAAGAGAGCCAGAGCAUGUUCUUCUCACGGCAAUGGCAGAAAAGUGAAAGGCAGAGAAGCCAGUGGCUGCUUUGACAUGAGGCUUCCCGUGUGGGAGGUGAACCAGAAGCCAAGCCUGGACGGAGACUGUGCCAUCAAGAGGCUCUGUCACGAGAUGCCAAGAUGAGCACGCGUCUCCAAAACAACACAAUCUCAACAUGCAAAAUGAUCACCAAGCAAGAGGAAACAGAGUGAGCCCUAGAGGUGAGGAAGUUGCCUGAAUUCCAUCUGUGUGCCCACAUACACAAAGCUCUGUUACACAAAGGAGCUACUCCAGCGACUAACUUAAGUGGGAUUAUGUGGAAACGAACACAAUCCACUGGGAUGGUGGUACUGUUAUGGAACAACACAGAUUGCCUGAGCCUGGAUAUCAAAACAAAAGCACCGAGUAUGGGAAUUUUUCUCAAACAGCUUCUCUGUCCAGUAUCCUGAGAGGGCCCCACACUGCCCUGUCCUUCCAUCUGUCACUAAUUAAUUCAAAUAUUUCCUAGGGUUCUAGCUGCUACCUUACAUCUUCUGGAAGUGACUAUCAGGGCCCUCACAGAGUUGGUUACUAUGGAGAUCAUGACAUCAGUCAUCUUGACUAAGCUUAAUGGUCUUGAGGCAACAUUCAGACUAAAAGUUUUGAUACUUAAAGUGGCUCAACCCUGGAGAAUGAGAGCAGAUUGAGAACUGAGGACUGUGGGCUUCAAGCUGCUUCUCUAAUGGAACACAGAGGUGAAAGGCAGUCCCUGCCCACUCGACCAAGGCCACGUGGGGCAGCCCUUUGGGAGGACCGCGCCCCCGGCUAACCAGGCAGAUAACGGGUUGCAAGAAGGUUUUUUGAGUCUGAAAAGCCUGACUGUUAUGCAUCAAAAGUCAAAGUUGAUGCUUCCAAUGACAGAUGCAGAAGAACACAUGGGGACAGCGAGCCCACUGUCUGAGGACCAGGAGGAGGAAAGCCAGAGGGGAAGAAGGAGAAAUCAGUGCAGCGCAGCCCUCUCCUUCCUCUGGCUAAGGCCAGGAAAGUGGAAGGAAGGGGGCAGGAUCCCUACAAAGAUUUUGGAGAAUACAGGAAGGAGACUGCCUCACAAGGGAGACUCUACUGCCACCUUGUCCUGGGAAGAGUCCAGUGGAGAUGGCUGAGGGAACUUCCUGGAUGAGGAAGGAAAUGAGGCAGCAAUGAGCUUCUGAAAGCCCAAAGCAAGGAAAGCGGAGAGGAAGAGAGCACGUAGCUCCAGGGAACACAAGGCCACACUCAGACUGGCCUCAAGGCUGUGAGGAUGGGAUUCUUCUGCAGCAAGCAGUGAGGGCUGCGGGGGCCUGGAUGCCAGGACAAGGGGUGACUUUGCCUGAGGACAAAAGCUGAUGUUCUGAACUCAGGAUUCCUGUGAGGACAGGCACUACCCAAGCAGCAGGUACCUCCCCUCCCAGCCUCCUCCCCGCCUGCCACGAUGCCAUGACAUUCCAUGUCCAUGAGCUCCUGAGAACUUGGAUGUCUUUCCUACCUGCCUAAAAACAUGAAAGAAGAAAUCUCCCAAAUGGACUCAAUGUAAACAUUAAAUGAUUAAAUUUACCCAGAAUUGAUGGAGGUUACUUUUACUCCCAUCAGGUGGAAUAAAGGCUCAAAGCAGAGACUCAGCUCAAUUAGAAAAAAAUAGGAAAAUAAAAGAUGUAUCCUUUUGCACACCUGGUUACUUGUCUUAAAAAUCUGUAUCUGACAUAAAAAAGAGGGUUUGUUGUAUAUCUCUGUACUCUGUAUGUUGCUUAGAUAAAGCAACAUAUUGCCAAGAGAAAUCAUCUUUUUCAAUUCAGGAAUCACAAGUUUUCAUUUUCAAAUUCUAAAACUUUAUGCUUUUUGAUUAAAGAGAUAGUAACUUUACCUUUGACUGAGCAAUACCAUUUCCAGGAAUUUGUUCAAAGGAAAUCAAAACAAAUGUGCUGAAAAAUAAUAAG
rnacentral:lncRNA from 10 species